rnacentral:rRNA from 1 species
UACGGGGGGAGCAAGCGUUGUUCGGAUUUACUGGGCGUAAAGGGCGCGUAGGCGGUCGUGACAAGUCACUUGUGAAAUCUCCGGGCUUAACUCGGAACGGUCAAGUGAUACUGUCGGACUAGAGUGCGGAAGGGGCUACUGGAAUUCUCGGUGUAGCGGUGAAAUGCGUAGAUAUCGAGAGGAACACCUGCGGCGAAGGCGGGUAGCUGGGCCGACACUGACGCUGAGGCGCGAAAGCCAGGGGAGCGAACGGG